CUCCUGGUUUUUCAGGCUGCAUAAAGAAGAAAAGGAAUGUUCUAAGGCAGAGACGCUUUAAAGACAUCACCAAGAUUAAUGUAAACACUGGAAUCCCCAAAAGCACAGCCCUUGAACACAGCAUGCUGGAUUAUGUGUCUCCUAUAAAACCGUCCUAUUUCCACAUAGGGGUUCCCAAAUGCCAAGGUGUACUGGGACCAGAAGGCCAUCGUGUCCUCAUCUGACCUCCUUCUUGCCACGGCAGCCCCCAACCCAGCCCUGGGCCUCCCCCCUCACAGCCCCAUGCCCAGCUGGCACUCCUUGGCCUGGAACUCCUCAACGCCUGCUGCUCAGCCUCCAGGGGUACAGCCUCUACGGCCACCUCCCAACCAUCUCCCCAGGGCGCCCCUCCUCUCAAAUCUGCCAGCGCCUCAUCUGCUCCUCUUGUCAUCGGAUGGAGUGCCUUCUCCAUUUUGACUAUUUUAUUAACUUUUCCAUGUCCCGCUUCAUUCCCGCAAGACCUCAAGUCAGUGUGAUAGCAAAUGUGGCUUCUGCACCAGACACGUGCCAACUGCCAUCCAGAUACCAGGCCCCGGGCUGCCAGGAUGGAGACUGUCACUUCCCUUGGCAAGGGACCCACUGCCGGGUGGGCAGGGUAUUAAGACUCAGUGGACUUCUGAAACAAUCACCACCCUAGCCUAUGGCCUGUUUACAGUCUUUAGUUUGGGACAGGCCACAGCCUGAUGCCAAGCAUGUGGUAAAGCAGUCUCGAUGCCACCUGUCCUGAAGGCUGUUCCAUCGUAAGAGCCCUGGAGGAGCCGCCACCCUCAGUCCCACACCAUCUCCUGGACCCACUCCAAGCUGUUUUCAGAAGCACGUCCUACUCAAUCAGAAACUCAAAAGUCCGGAGUGUGAUCCCGCUCUACCCCCGACUCUCCUCCCUGCAGCACCGAGAAGGACCAUCGCAAGGGUGAGGCACAUGGGAAUACAAAGAACCAGUAUGGAAGCGCUGGACAUGUCAUUUGUGACUCAUUCUUUUAAUUCACCGUGCUAAUCAACUGAACCGCCACAGCCUCCCAAGGUGAGAAGCCCCACAAAGGGAGAGAGGUACCGAAGGUCACACAGCCACGGGGGCUGCCCCAUCCACGGCUUCAUACGCCAUCUCAAACAAAGAUGUGGAAACUGCAUAUCCAGCUAAACCCACAGGCCAAGGGGGCUUUGUCUGUCUUUCCACAGACCCCUGCCCUCUCUGUACAGUCCUCCCGUGCCCUCAUGAGCACCUCCUGGUGGGGAGGAGGCCUCUACCGCUUUCCCGCAGAAGCUGGAGCUGUGAACUCACCGGUG